CUCUGGAAAAACGGUAGAGCAGAGCCUGCAAAAUUUCAACAGAGAAUUAGCACCGGAUCCAGCAAUCCCACUUCGAGCACAGGGUUCCGGGGACAGGCGAGCAGGACGGCGCUGGUGACAGCCUGGAGCCUACAAUGAGGCAGGAAGUGGCUCGCAGGGUGGAUGGAAACCCGAUGACAGAGAGGCAGCCUGGGCUGACAUGCAGCUUUGCCCUCCUCUCCUCUCCCCAACCUGGGAUGCACAUGUGAGGCUCGAAGUGCCACAGCCACGGGGCCAAGUGCCACAGGCCAGAGAUGGUGGAGGGAACAACCCACAGACCUGGAGGCCUGGGGGACCCUGGAUUCGCGGCACCGCCGCGGGAUAGUCGGCCUCGGCGCUCAUCGGCCCGGAAGAGAGCCGUCCCUGGCUCGGCCAGACCGUGUCACCAGGGGCCCUGUCACAUGUGGUCCACAAGAAGCCUCGGGAGCAAGCAGGGCCCGAGAAGAGAGACGGGUGUGGACAGAUA